rnacentral:rRNA from 1 species
GACGAACGCUGGCUGCGUGCUUAACACAUGCAAGUCGCACGGCAGCGCCCUGCUUUCGUGCGGUGCUCGAGUGGCGAACGGGCGCGUAACACGUAAGUAUCCUCCCCUUGCCUUUGGGCUCGCUUCAGGACGCCGGGGCUAGUACCAGAUCGGUGCUCCUUCUGCAUGGGGGGGGCGGGAAAGUCUCGGCGGUUGGGGAUGGACGCGCGGGUUGUCUGCUGGUUGGUGGGGUAGUGGCUUACCAAGGAUUUGGCGGGUAGCGGGCCUGAGAGGGUGACCGGCAAAAUGGGGACUGAGAUACGGGCCGGAGUCCUACGGGAGGCAGCAGUGGGGAAUAAUGCACGAAGGGCGGAAGCCUGAUGCAGCAACGCGGCGUGAUGGGUGACGGCCUGCGGGUUGGAGGCCGCUUAGGCCUGUGACGGAGCGUGAGUGACGGUAAUGGGUGAAGAAGGACCGGCUAAUUACGUG